rnacentral:rRNA from 1 species
UACGUAGGGGGCAAGCGUUGUCCGGAUUUAUUGGGCGUAAAGAGCGUGUAGGCGGCUUGACAGGUCUGCUGUGAAAACUCGAGGCUCAACCUCGAGAUGUCGGCGGAAACCGUCUGGCUAGAGUCCGGAAGAGGAGAGUGGAAUUCCUGGUGUAGCGGUGAAAUGCGCAGAUAUCAGGAAGAACACCUAUGGCGAAGGCGGGUCUCUGGGCCGAUGACUGACGCUCAGGCGCGAUAGCGUGGGGAUCAAACAGG